CACUCCCCUUGAUAAGGAUGGAAGAGGUCCCAGUGGCCUGUACAACACACAACACGCAUAUGGUUAAGGCAUUGCCACUUACUUCGUGGCAUCUAACCAGGUGUUUUU